rnacentral:rRNA from 1 species
CCGGAGAGGCAAGUGGAAUUCCCAGUGUAGCGGUGAAAUGCGUAGAUAUUGGGAAGAACAUCGGUGGCGAAGGCGACUUGCUGGACGGUAACUGACGCUGAGGUGCGAAAGCCAGGGUAGCGAACGGGAUUAGAUACCCCGGUAGUCCUGGCUGUAAACGAUGAAUGCUAGGUGUGCGAGCAGAGAUGUUGGUGUGCCGCAGUUAACGCGAUAAGCAUUCCGCCUGGGGAGUACGGUCGCAAGAUUGAAAUUCAAAGGAAUUGACGGGGGCCCGCACAAG